rnacentral:rRNA from 1 species
GAUGAACGCUGGCGGCGUGCCUAAUACAUGCAAGUCGAGCGGACGGACGCUAAGCUUGCUUCUCUGAUGUUAGCGGCGGACGUGUGAGUAACACGUGGAUCACCUCCCUAUCAGACUGGGAUCACUUCGGGAAACCGGAGCUAAUACCGUAUAAUAUUUUGCACCACAUGGUUCAAAGGUGAAAGACGGUCUUGCUGUCACUUAUAGAUGCAUCCGCGCUGCAUUAGCUAGUUGGUAAGGUAGCGGCUUACCAAGGCAACGAUGCAUAGCCGACCUGAGAGGGUGAUCGGCCACACUGGAACUGAGACACGGUCCAGACUCCUACGGGAGGCAGCAGUAGGGAAUCUUCCGCAAUGGGCGAAAGCCUGACGGAGCAACGCCGCGUGAGUGAUGAAGGUCUUCGGAUCGUAAAACUCUGUUAUUAGGGAAGAACAUAUGUGUAAGUAACUGUGCACAUCUUGACGGUACCUAAUCAGAAAGCCACGGCUAACUACGUG